ACACGACUACAUUAGAUACCCCUGUAGUCCUAGCCGUAAACGAUACUCGCUAGGUGUCGGCCACGGUGCGACCGUUGUCGGUGCCGUAGGGAAGCCGUGAAGCGAGCCACCUGGGAAGUACGGCCGCAAGGCUGAAACUUAAAGGAAUUGGCGGGGGAGCACAACAACGGGUGGAGUUUGCGGUUUAAUUGGAUUCAACGCCGGAAAUCUUACCGGGACCGACAGCAACAUGAAGGCCAAGCUGAAGACUUUGCCGGAUUAGCUG
rnacentral:rRNA from 1 species